rnacentral:pre_miRNA from 1 species
GAAAUACUCCCUCCGUCCGGAAAUACUUGUCAUAGGAAUGGAUGUAUCUAGAUGUAUUUUAGUUCUAGAUACAUCCAUUUUUAUCAAUUUGUACGACAAGUAAUUCUGGAUGGAGGGAGUAUACA